GACAGAGGGUGCAAACGUUGUUCGGAAUUACUGGGCGUAAAGCGCGUGUAGGCGGUCUGCUAAGUCGGGUGUGAAAGCCCUGGGCUCAACCCAGGAAGUGCACUCGAAACUGGUAGGCUAGAGUACUGGAGAGGUUGGUGGAAUUCUCGGUGUAGAGGUGAAAUUCGUAGAUAUCGAGAGGAACACCGGUGGCGAAGGCGGCCAACUGGACAGAUACUGACGCUGAGACUCGAAAGCGUGGGGAGCAAACAGA
rnacentral:rRNA from 1 species